UGGGGAAUAUUGCACAAUGGGCGAAAGCCUGAUGCAGCGACGCCGCGUGAGGGAAGAAGGUUUUCGGAUCGUAAACCUCUGUCCAGAGGGAAGAAGGAAGUGACGGUACCUUUGGAGGAAGCCCCGGCUAACUACGUGCCAGCAGCCGCGGUAAUACGUAGGGGGCGAGCGUUGUCCGGAAUUAUUGGGCGUAAAGGGCGCGUAGGCGGUGACACAAGUCAGGUGAUAAAGGCACGGGCUCAACCGGUGUUAGGCACUUGAUACUGUGUUGCUAGAGUGCAGGAGAGGGGAGUGGAAUUCCAGGUGUAGCGGUGAAAUGCGUAGAUAUCUGGAAGAACACCAGUGGCGAAGGCGGCUCUCUGGACUGCAACUGACGCUGAGGCGCGAAAGCUGGGGGAGCAAACAGG
rnacentral:rRNA from 1 species